rnacentral:lncRNA from 1 species
GAAACAGUUCUCUAUUGUGUCUAAGGACUGAUAUCUGAUUGACAGGAAACUGGUGAAGCAGAGAUGACAACGGUUUUGAUUUAUGCUCCCGUUGUACUCUGCUCAAUAUUUAGAUAGCUAUAGAUGGCGUUGAUCUUUACCCCCAAACUGUAGAGAAAAAACGGUUGCCUUGUACUUCAUGUGGGGCACUGAAAUGAAGCUAACAACAGUGCACAACCAGUAAGGCAACCACGUCGUUCACAGAUUGCCUGCUUGGUUAGCUUCUGUUUUCACCAUUCCCAAGUUAUUAUGCAGACUAAGUAAAUAUAAAUAACGUAUACGUGAAAUGUUACCUGUUCAUUCUUUGGUUAUGAUUACUCUUCUUGCUACAUAAGCAGGUUGACUAGGCUGGUUGUUCUCUAAGUGAAGCUUUUUUCUUUUGGAUGCAACUAGAGGGAGAGCCCUCUUGAUUUAAGCAUAUCGCGUGACCCCAUCCAGAUUCAUCGAACAUGACGUUGGGUCGAUGUUGUCUUCCUUCUUAUCACCUUCUUCUUCCUUGCGUCUGCAGCAGAAGCCUGCACAGUCCUCCCGCCGCUGAAUUCCACUGCCGCCCGCGGCCGGCGCUGCCACGCCGCUCCGACCACCUCCUGCCCCCGCCGCGCCACCCCGCCCUUCCUAACCGCUUACGUCGCUCGCUCCCGCCGCCAGCACCACCCACCAGGGGUCCCCACCAUCCACCGGCAGCGCCAUCGCCGCCGGCCUCGCCGCCCACAACCCACAACCACCGCCGGACUUGCCGCCGCCACCGGGCAUCCCUUUAAGCCUGCCGGCCAUGGAAACCCCCUCCCCCAAACCUAGAAACCUGAACCUGGCAAUCCCCAGCCUCCAAACC